rnacentral:rRNA from 1 species
AGAGUGGCGCACGGGUGAGUAGCGCGUGGGAACCUGCCCCUUUGUGGGGGAUAACCGAGGGAAACUUCGGCUAAUACCGCAUGCGCCCGGGAAACCGGGGAAAGAUUUAUCGCAGAGGGAGGGGCCCGCGUCGGAUUAGCUAGUUGGUGGGGCAACGGCCUACCAAGGCGAUGAUCCGUAGCUGGUCUGAGAGGAUGAUCAGCCACACUGGGACUGAGACACGGCCCAGACUCCUACGGGAGGCAGCAGUGGGGAAUAUUGGACAAUGGGCGCAAGCCUGAUCCAGCAAUGCCGCGUGAGUGAUGAAGGCCUUAGGGUUGUAAAGCUCUUUCGGCGGGGACGAUGAUGACGGUACCCGCAGAAGAAGCCCCGGCUAACUUCGUGCCAGCAGCCGCGGUAAUACGAAGGGGGCGAGCGUUGUUCGGAUUUACUGGGCGUAAAGGGCGCGUAGGCGGCCUUCAAGUCAGGCGUGAAAGCCCCGGGCUCAACCUGGGAACGGCGCUUGGGACUGGAGGGCUGGAGUUCGGGA